rnacentral:rRNA from 1 species
CACAUGCAAGUUGAGCGAUUUACUUCGGUAAAGAGCGGCGGACGGGUGAGUAACGCGUGGGUAACCUACCCUGUACACACGGAUAACAUACCGAAAGGUAUGCUAAUACGGGAUAAUAUAUUUGAGAGGCAUCUCUUGAAUAUCAAAGGUGAGCCAGUACAGGAUGGACCCGCGUCUGAUUAGCUAGUUGGUAAGGUAACGGCUUACCAAGGCGACGAUCAGUAGCCGACCUGAGAGGGUGAUCGGCCACAUUGGAACUGAGACACGGUCCAAACUCCUACGGGAGGCAGCAGUGGGGAAUAUUGCACAAUGGGCGAAAGCCUGAUGCAGCAACGCCGCGUGAGUGAUGAAGGCCUUCGGGUCGUAAAACUCUGUCCUCAAGGAAGAUAAUGACGGUACUUGAGGAGGAAGCCCCGGCUAACUACGUGCCAGCCGCCGCGGUAAUU